rnacentral:rRNA from 1 species
CACGUAGGGUGCGAGCGUUGUCCGGAAUUAUUGGGCGUAAAGGGCUCGUAGGCGGUUUGUCGCGUCGGGAGUGAAAACACCGGGCUUAACUCGGUGCUUGCUUUCGAUACGGGCAGACUAGAGGCAUGCAGGGGAGAACGGAAUUCCUGGUGUAGCGGUGAAAUGCGCAGAUAUCAGGAGGAACACCGGUGGCGAAGGCGGUUCUCUGGGCAUGUCCUGACGCUGAGGAGCGAAAGUGUGGGGAGCGAACAGG